rnacentral:sRNA from 1 species
AGCAUAUCACGAAAAUCACCAAUUACAUCAGGUCUCACCCUUCAUGGGUGAGUGGAUUGAAAUAAGUCAUUUUCUGCUUCUGCUAGGUUUGCUUUAGUCUCACCCUUCAUGGGUGAGUGGAUUGAAAUUUUUUACUUUGAUUACAUCCCGCAAUGUCACAGCGUCUCACCCUUCAUGGGUGAGUGGAUUGAAAUUGUCCGCAUACCUUGAUUUGAGCGAGUAAACUCGUCUCACCCUUCAUGGGUGAGUGGAUUGAAAGAUGAACCCGAUCUCUCUUUUAAUGAGGUCGGGUUUUUACA